GACGAACGCUGGCGGCGUGCCUAAUACAUGCCAGUUGAGCGCUGAAGGUUGGUACUUGUACCAACUGGAUGAGCAGCGAACGGGUGAGUAACGCGUGGGGAAUCUGCCUUUGAGCGGGGGACAACAUUUGGAAACGAAUGCUAAUACCGCAUAAAAACUUUAAACACAAGUUUUAAGUUUGAAAGAUGCAAUUGCAUCACUCAAAGAUGAUCCCGCGUUGUAUUAGCUAGUUGGUGAGGUAAAGGCUCACCAAGGCGAUGAUACAUAGCCGACCUGAGAGGGUGCACCGCCAAGAUGGGAACGGGGCACGGCCCAAACCCCCACGGGAGGCAGCCGGUGGGGAUCUUCGGCAAUGGACGAAAGUCUGAACGAGCAACGCCGCGUGAAUGAAGAAGGUUGUCGGAUCGUAAAACUCUGUUGGUAGAGAAGAACGUUGGUGGGAGUGGAAAGCUCAUCAAGUGACGGUAACUACCCAGAAAGGGACGGCUAACUACGUG
rnacentral:rRNA from 1 species